rnacentral:tRNA from 1 species
GCAGGUGUGGCGGAAUGGCAGACGCAGCAGACUCAAAAUCUGCCGUAGGCAACUACAUGUGGGUUCAAGUCCCACCACCUGCA